AUUGAACGCUGGCGGCAUGCCUUACACAUGCAAGUCGAACGGCAGCAUGGAAGAGCUUGCUCUUCUGAUGGCGAGUGGCGAACGGGUGAGUAAAGCAUCGGAACGUACCGUGUAAUGGGGGAUAACGUAGCGAAAGUUACGCUAAUACCGCAUACGACCUGAGGGUGAAAGCAGGGGAUCGCAAGACCUUGCGUUAUACGAGCGGCCGAUGUCAGAUUAGCUAGUUGGUAGGGUAAAGGCUUACCAAGGCGAUGAUCAGUAGCUGGUUCGAGAGGGAUGAUCAGCCANACUGGAACUGAGAUACGGUCCAGACUCCUACGGGAGCAGCAGUAAGGAAUCUUCCGCAAUGGACGAAAGUCUGACGGAGCAACGCCGCGUGCAGGAUGAAGGCUUUCGGGUCGUAAACUGCUUUUGUAUGGGAAGAUUAUGACGGUACCAU
rnacentral:rRNA from 1 species